CCAGCAAUUUCUGUAUUUGUUAAAACAAAACAUUCAUUUAAACACAGGUAUCUGUGCCAGCUGUCUGGAUACAGAAUUGGCUGGCAAGCAGAAGACAGCGAGUGGUAGUGGAAGGAAAAUAUUCUGCCUGGAAGUCUGUGAUCCUUACAGCAAUCCCAGAGGUUACAACAUCAACAGAGAUCUCAGAGGGAAAAGCAGCUGGGGAUCAUUUAUUGAAACUUCCAACCAUUCUGGGAUCUCCAACAGCUUCUGAAUGCUGCAGCCUAAAACAAAACGAGAAACCCUCGUCUGGGAGAGCUGGCCACUGCCCUUUCAUUGUUCCCACCGUUUUAAUGAAACCUAAAAUCUCAGUUAUUUACUUAAACUGUUUUCAGACAGCAGUUCUGCACCUCUGCCUUUAAAACCUCUCUUCAAAAAAAAACACAAGAGAAAAUAAACGUUUUACAAUGAUAA